ACAUAAUACGUUUCUGAAGAUUCGCUUAUGAAGGGAUCGUUUUCAGAAUUUUAGGAUCAAUCAACUGAAUUAAUUACUUAUUUUAGAUUAUCCACGUCCCCCGCCAACUGCGCCUUUUCGCAGGUUUGUUGUUUGCAAUCUUGGCGGGACUAUGCGUUGUUUUUUGAACGGGAGAGUCAGGUUGCUGCUCAAGCACAUUGCAGCGGGGAGCUGUAAGUAUGAAGCUCCAUCGCCACUGCUAUGGAGUGGGAAGAUCGGAUGGGAAUUCGUGAGGCAGAACUGCAGCUAUCGGUCAUGGCAACUAUGGCGGGCUCUCUGUUGUCUUACCCGCCCUCCUCCGUGACUUUGGGAUUGUGUCCAUGCCAUCCGUGCUUGCUUCAGCUUGAUUCGUAGCGGCAAUAAGGUUAAUGUCGGUUGAACUCUGCUGAUUCAGGACGAUACGUGGCGCAGAUUGUCUUCCAAGAGCCGUACAUGCGCUGGAGAGCAGUUGACGAGAUGCGGAGAAUUCUAUGUAUUGAUGGCAGGAGUUGCAAUUGCACUUGUUCCAAAACAGUUUGUUCAUCAUGCGAUAAAAGUCAUUUAGCUAUGAUAUUGAGUGAUCAGUAAAUCACUGGUGAAACAUCAGAUGUCCCGGAAGCUGUUUGCACAACGCUCUGUAUUCUUGCUCGGUUCUGUACUCGACGGCAACUUCUGAUUCAAUUGCAGAUCUUACAGAUUUUGUUAAAUACUACAUCACUGCAGAUUCUUGUCCUCAAGCUUUUACUUAACGGUCGCUCUUUGUUUUCGGCUUUGGCUUUAUAGUGGGAACAACCAGCUAUGUGCGAGAUUCAUGUGAUUUCGUUGAAUUAGAUAUUAGGAUGCUAAUAAUGGCAAAUUGAGACGAAUGUAUUGACUGCAAGUUACUGUUACAACGGGUAUCAAGAGUUGCCCUAA